rnacentral:rRNA from 1 species
AUUGAACGCUGGCGGCAGGCCUAACACAUGCAAGUCGAACGAGUGGCGGACGGGUGGGCAAUGUCGGGGAAACUGCCUGAUGGAGGGGGAUAACUACUGGAAACGGUAGCUAAUACCGCAUACCAUCGGAUGUGCCCAGAUGGGCUUAGCUAGUAGGUGGGGUAACGGCACACCUAGGCGACGAUCCCUAGCUGGUCUGAGAGGAUGACCAGCCACACUGGAACUGAGACACGGUCCAGACUCCUACGGGAGGCAGCAGUGGGGAAUAUUGCACAAUGGGCGCAAGCCUGAUGGAGCCAUGCCGCGUGUAUGAAGAAGGCCUUCGGGUUGUAAAGUACUUUCAGCGGGGAGGCGUUACCCGCAGAAGAAGCACCGGCUAACUCCGUGCCAGCAGCCGCGGUAAUUC